UGGAGAACCCGAUCUUGAUCGUGCACUAGCUGCAGAUCCCGAUCUCGAACGUGCGCUAGCUGCGGAUCCCGAUCUCAAACGUGCACUACCUGCAGAGCCUGAUCUCGAUCGUGCACUAGCUGCAGAACCCGAUCUUGAUCGUGGGCUAGGUGCAGAACCCGAUCUCGAACGUGCACUAGCUGCAGAUCCCGAUCUCGAAUGUGCGCUAGCUGCGGAUCCCGAUCUCGAACGUGCGCUACCUGCAGAUCCCGAUCUCGAACGUGCACUAGCUGCAGAAUCCGAUCUUGAUCGUGCACUAGCUGCAGAUCCCGAUCUCGAACGUGCACUACGUGCAGAGCCUGAUUUCGAUCGUGCACUAGCUGGAGAGCCCGAUCUUGAUCGUGCACUAGCUGCAGAUCCCGAUCUCGAACGUGCACUAUGUGGAGAGCCUGAUUUCAAUCGUGCACUAGC